UUYGGCURUCACUUACAGAUGGACCCGCGGCGCAUUAGCUAGUUGGKGAGGUAACGGCUCACCAAGGCAACGAUGSGUAGCCGACCUGAGAGGGUGAUCGGCCACACUGGGACUGAGACACGGCCCAGACUCCUACGGGAGGCAGCAGUAGGGAAUCUUCCGCAAUGGACGAAAGUCUGACGGAGCAACGCCGCGUGAACGAUGAAGGCCUUCGGGUCGUAAAGUUCUUUGUUAGGGAAGAACAAGUACCAGAGUAACUGCUGGUACCUGACGGUACCUA
rnacentral:rRNA from 1 species